rnacentral:rRNA from 1 species
CAACUUGCGAGAGUGAGCGAAUCCCAAAAAGUGCGUCGUAGUCCGGAUCGGAGUCUGCAACUCGACUCCGUGAAGUCGGAAUCGCUAGUAAUCGUGGAUCAGAAUGCCACGGUGAAUACGUUCCCGGGCCUUGUACACACCGCCCGUCACACCAUGGGAGUGGGCUGCAAAAGAAGUAGGUAGUUUAACCUUCGGGAGGACGCUUACCACUUUGUGGUUCAUGACUGGGGUGAAGUCGUAACAAGGUAGCGCUAGGGGAACCUGGCGCUGGAUCACCUCCUUAUACGAUGAU